rnacentral:snRNA from 1 species
UCUACGAGUCGGGUUGUU